rnacentral:rRNA from 1 species
CCCUUAGAUGUUCGGGGCCGCACGCGCGCUACACUGAAGGAAUCAGCGUGUGUUUACCCUGGUCCGGAAGGAUCGGGUAACCCGUUGAACCUCCUUCGUGCUAGGGAUUGGGGCUUGUAAUUCUUCCCCAUGAACGAGGAAUGCCUAGUAAGCGCAAGUCAUCAGCUUGCGUUGAUUACGUCCCUGCCCUUUGUACACACCGCCCGUCGCUCCUACCGAUUGAAUGGUCCGGUGAAGCGUUUGGACUAUGGUUUUCUGACGGUUCGCCAUUGGAUUACCGUGGGAAAUUCGUUAAACCUUAUCAUUUAGAGGAAGGUGAAGUCGUAACA